AUGAAUUUACGAUCAAGUGGGAGACCAAGGCACCAGGUGCGUGCACGUUGGUUGCUUGGUUGGGUGCGCAGUUUCGGCCCGAGCGCAGAAUUAGCAUUGUACGCGCAGGCACAGUUUAGCGCCACCGUAGAGAUCACUAUACACCAAGCUGGUUGGGAGAGCUGGAGGGGGGGCGGGGGGAUGCUUCCGAACGGGAUGCAGGCUGCAUACGCUGGCAGCAAGAUAUUCUUAUGCUCUGUUAGAGAGAAGAAAAAGAUGAUAUGGCUCCUGAGAUGGAAGAGGAAGAACUCACAAGCUUUCCUACAUGCUGUGUGGAUUCACUUGCCAACAAAGCAAGGUAAGAUAGACUAUGCUGAAUGUGCUGAUAUCGAGAUGGGUGAAAUGGAAGAUAUGGAAGAUAUGGAAUACUUUGAAGACUUCGGUAGUGAAGAUGUAACAAAGAAGCCCAAGGUACCAUGCUCUGAUUUAAGAUCAAAGAUUGAGCAGAAGUCUACGAUAGUUAUCACCGAGCUGACUAUUAAAUGGCAAAACCAAGGGAGAACUCUAGCAUGGCCAAACAGGCACAAGCAGGAAGAAGCAGAUGAGCCUAGUACCUUGAACAGGCAUGCUGAAUUAAAAUCAGAGGAAACAUUUGGGCAUGUGCUGGACCCCUAUGCCGUGUGCCCAGCUGACACGGUGUUCCCAGCGCUCCUGAGCUGCCCUGUGGUGCCUUCGCUGCAGGCACAGCUUCCCGACAAAGACGCACCGAUGGACACGAGCCCGGUGUACAUCAAGGGGGAUCCGUUUGCCAAGACGAUGUACCAGGAUAGUGAAGUCGGGCCCAGGAAGCAAAGCCGUGAUGAGGAGGACAUUAUACCUGUGGCAGAGCUCAACAAGGUCAUCAAGAACGUGGCGGAAACUGUUUUUGACGAGCAGCAUAGGAGUUUUGAGUACAUGGACAGGGACUGGCUUACAAAGGGCGAGUAUGAAACGUUGGAGUUCAGAAAGAAGGCUCACCCACCUCAGUUCUACGAAGUCAAGGUAGUUAUCUGCUGGUCUCUUAUUUCACCAUCUUCUUCUCGUCUUACUGCUGCCGAAUUCAUUUGCGCGUCUUUGCAGAAAUCAAAGCGUGGCGGACUUAAGCUCGGACCCCGACCUGGUAAAGCAACCAAACCGAGGAUUGGGAUCAAUGGUUUGGGGCGGAUCAGGAGACUUGUGGCCAGGCUUAUUUUGCGCAGCAAGAACAUGGAACUAGUCGUCGUUAACGACCCUUUUCUGAGCGCAGAUGACAUUGCUAGAUCCCUAGAGGACAUGCCUCCUGAUUUAUUCCCUCCCACCAAAGUUCUAGCUAUUUCUGAACCUGAAAAAAUACCCUGGGGCCAUCUCGGCGCAGACUACGUCGUGGAGAGCACUGGAAUAUUCACUGACACGGAUACUGCCAGCUUUCACUUGAUGCUGUUCAGCAUGAUCAAAACAGUAAACCAGUAUAGUAGGGGCUGUUUCUUUUCUCAGGGUGGCGCCAAGAAGGUUAUCAUCUGUGCUCUGAGCAUUGAAGCUCCCACAUUUGUUUAUGGUGUCAACGAAAAUAUUUACACGCCAGAUAUUGGCAUCAUCUCAAUUGCUGAUAUCACUACAAUUUGUCUUGCUCUGCUCGCCAAGAUCCUCCACACUAAAUUUGGCAUCAGAGAGUGCCAUGUGACUAUAACCGGACCAUCCUCUAGUGCUGCAGAAAUUGGCAGGGCACUCAGUUCCGCUAUUCCUGAUUUAGUCGACAGGUUCCAUGUGACGGUGAACCAUGAUCCUCAGGUGAAACUGUCUUGUGUGGAAAUGGCGGUUAGGCUUGACGAGUGUGCUGACUACGAGAUGAUCAAGGAUUCUGUCAGGAAAGAGUCUUCAUCAAAGGAACUUCACUAUGUACUAGCUAACCUGGAGGGAGGAGUGGGGCUCAAGGCCACAGAUUAUUUAGGAGAUUGCAGGUCGUGCUUCUUUGAUGCCGAUGCUGGAGCUAUGCUGGGGGACGGUUCCUUCAAGCUCUUCGCAUGGUUCAACCACCAGCGCAGCUACGGCCAGCGCUGCACUGACAUGAUUCUACACAUGGCGAAGAAGUCUAGAGUUGAUUGA
rnacentral:rRNA from 1 species